UGGGGAAUAUUGCACAAUGGAGGGAACUCUGAUGCAGCGACGCCGCGUGAACGAAGAAGGCUUUCGAGUCGCAAAGUUCUCUUAUAUGGGAAGAUAAUGACGGUACCAUAAGAAAAAGCCCCGGCUAACUACGUGCCAGCAGCCGCGGUAAUACGUAGGGGGCUAGCGUUGUCCGGAAUCACUGGGCGUAAAGGGUUCGCAGGCGGAAAUGCAAGUCAGGUGUAAAAGGCAGUAGCUUAACAACUGUAAGCAUUUGAAACUGCAUAUCUUGAGAAGAGUAGAGGUAAGUGGAAUUUUUAGUGUAGCGGUGAAAUGCGUAGAUAUUAAAAAGAAUACCGGUGGCGAAGGCAACUUACUGUGCUCAUUCUGACGCUGAGGAACGAAAGCGUGGGUAGCAAACAGG
rnacentral:rRNA from 1 species